UAGGCGUAAAUAGAUGCGAGUUAAGUGUGGGGGCGAUCUACGAGAUGGCCCUGUGCUGUAGGGUAGCCGUUAAACUCGCUGCCUGGGGAGUACGGUCGCAAGGCUGAAACUUAAAGGAAUUGGCGGGGGAGGCACCACAACGGGUGGAGCCUGCGGUUUAAUUUGGACUCAACGCCGGGAAGCUCACCGGAUAAGACAGCGGAAUGAUUGCCGGGCUGAAGACCCUGCAUGACCAGCUGAGAGGAGGUGCAUGGC
rnacentral:rRNA from 1 species